rnacentral:rRNA from 1 species
CCCUUAGAUGUUCUGGGCUGCACGCGCGCUACACUGAUGCGUUCAACGAGUGUACAACCUUGCCCGUUAGGGUUGGGUAAUCUUUUGAACACGCAUCGUGAUGGGGCUUGAUUAUUGCAAUUAUUAAUCAUAAACGAGGAAUUCCUAGUAAUGGCGAAUCAUCAGUUCGUCGUGAUUACGUCCCUGCCCUUUGUACACACCGCCCGUCGCACCUACCGAUUGAAUGGUCCGGUGAAAUCUCGGGACGGCGGCUUGGUCGCUUGCGUCCGACUGCUGAAACUUGAUUAAACCAUAUCAUUUAGAGGAAGGUGAAGUCGUAACA